rnacentral:lncRNA from 1 species
UGCUUGAAGUUAAAAGAAAACCUUGUGCGUUUUGGAUUACGCAGGAGAAAAAGGAGAUUCCCCAAGGGAAGAAGGAUGACCAGAAGGCAGUGGACGCAGCUUUGAUCAAAGCCAUUGAAGCAGUUCCAGAGCUGAAGACUUACCUUGGCGCAAGGUUUUCAUUGAAACAAGGAAUGAAGCCCCAUGAGCUUGUUUUCUAGAUUUCAUAACCUUUCUCUGAGGUCUCUUCUAGAGUGUGUGUCUCCUUUAGUCUUACUCUCUAAAUGGUUGAUCUUGUUCUUGUUCACCGAUCAAAGACAAAUUUUUGGCUUCGUUAUUCCUAUGUUUUCUGGUUUUUACAUACGGAUAUUUAUCAAUCUUGUUUUUAAAAGUGAGAUUUGUAGCAAUGGAGAAAAAAAUUUCACAAGACUUCUAAAAUUGGGAUACGGUGACAAGCGAAGUAAUGGCUACGGUUCACAAGAUGGAAGUUGAAGAACUGUGAAAUUAACAAUUCUAAGAAGAUAUAAUUUGCUUACGUUCUAGUUGAAAUGGUUCUAAACACUUGUUACAAGUUUCUCUCAAACAUAGAUAGUGAGUAAAAGAGAUCAGGCCAAACAUACAUAAUGAAUAAGAAAGGGAGCUUCUAAACGAGAGCUUGAUCACCAACUUUAGGUGUUUCUUUGCCGGCACAAUCAGAAACUUUAGCUCCAGCCUCCACAUCUCCGGCCAAACAGCGUCUCCAUUUCCGUCUCAGAUACCCUAAAAGCCCACCACUCUUUAUCAUCUCAAGCGGAUUGGCUUCAGCCACUAAAACAGUGCUCUGGCGGCGCCGUGCGCAUAUCCGGCCCAAGAAGCAGGAGAGAACUGCAAGAACGACAAGAACAGAGAUGACUGCAAAGAAGGGUCCAAUGGAGCCGGACGAGUAGUGGUUUGGACCGUUUGGUGCUGCGAUUAGAUUAGCAUUUGUCGCUAUAGGCUCCAUCUCAUUGCUUCCUAAUGGCUGUUGCGGUUGUUGUUGAGUGGGAUACAACAAAGUGCUGCUAGUAGUACCAGUCAUUGCCAUUUGAUCUUAUGAUGCUUUGGUUCUUGGAGAUCAAGAUUCAAUAUUUCUCGAUAGAUCGAUGGGAUCUUUAGUUAUGGUGUAUCUGCGAAUGAAGGUCUAAUAUAUAGGCAUGUGCAUAUGAACAUUGGUCUUUUGAAAAGCUUUUAGCCGACCAGAGUUUGUAAAAGAAUGACAUGGAAAGGUGAAUAAAGGGGAGAAAUCCUCAUCAGCUUCAUCAAAAAAGCUUCUCAAUCUAUAAUAUAACAAAAGUAUAUAUAAUCCAUUGCUCUCUUAGAGGUGAAGUAAACGUUGACUUUAUUGUCUCGACUCUUGAUCUGAUUUUGAGGUUUGUGAUGUUAUUAUAGUUAUUAUUCUGAUUUUCUGAAACUGCCACUUACUGUCUGAGAUUAGUGAAGUGAAUAUGACUUAUGAAUGUUUUCUCUACAAAAUCAAUCGAUGCUUAGAGCAUCUCCACCCCUCAUACUCAUGAAGGGUUGUUAAAUAUUAUUUAAUAAUAAAUUUGACAUUUUUAAAAAUUAAGAACUCCUUUUCUAUUUUUUAAGUCCAUUCCUCAUACUCAUUAAAAGUUGUUAAAAUGUUAACUGGGCUGAGUUAAUGGGCUAAGUUUAUUAAAAAAAUUCUUCUAAGGCCCAAAACGAUGUGAACAUAAUUUUUUGGCCCAAUUUAUAAUAUCAUCCGACAUCAAUCCGUAAACCAAAUUUUAUUGCAUUACACAUAAUUUAUAACAGUUAAAACAUGAAAAUUAUACAAAAUAUAUAUAAAAGCAUUAUUAAAAUCAGAAAUACAUGUAAUUAGCCCGUCAAAAGCUGCUUCCUCGAAACUCCUCGCUUCGAAGCAUCGGUGCUAAGAAGGGACUAAGGAAAAACCAUGGCGGGAAUCCGGCCAAUCGUCCGAUCCCGAGCCGAUACUCUUUGGCUUCCAGUUUCUCAAACCUGCAAAAAAAACCAAAGAAUUGAAAAACACAAGAAAUGUGGUUGGGCUAAGAUUUUUAUUGGGCCAUAUAUGAUUUUAAGCCCAAACACAAGAAAUGCUUCUUCCAAUUAAAAGCCACUACGUAGAUAUAUACUCAAGAAAGAGAAACUCUUCCACAAGAGGUUAUCAACCCAUAAUAUAAGCUUUUACUAAUUUUCUGAUUUAUUUUAAUUGCUUCAAAAUCCUUAUAUCCCCACUACAUCUCUGCAAUGGAGAUAGUCUUAGUAAAAAAAUUAAACAAUAGUUUACAUGAAAUCAGAAAACAACUCUGCAUUAAAAGCCCAAUCCGACUUAAAGGCCCACGAGGCCCAAUCUUGCCCUUCACUUAGGGUUUCUGAGUCUUCAAAUGUUGUGACCUAUCGCCUCUACUAUCAUCCGUCAAUUCUCUCCCGGAAAAUUUUUCCUGAUUCUCUUUUGAGGGUUUGCGACAGAGAGAAAGCAACCAUGCCGGCGAAACAGAGGAUGCCUAAGGUCAGCAGGAACCCUGAUCUGAUCAGGGGUGUUGGUAAAUACUCGAGGUCGCAGAUGUACCAUAAGAGGGGUUUGUGGGCUAUCAAGGCCAAAAACGGCGGCGUUUUCCCCCGCCACGACGCUAAAUCUAAGGUUGAUGCUGCGGCGGAGAAGCCACCGAAGUUCUAUCCGGCUGAAGAUGUUAAGAAACCUCUCGCCAACAGGCGGAAGCCAAAACCCACCAAGCUCAGGUACCUAUCUGACUCACUGUCUCAUGAUCUUGGAUAGAAAGCUAGCUCGAUUCAAAUGUAUUCUACGUGUUUGGCUCUUAGAGUAGUUGUUUGCUUAGUGGCUCUGUAUUAGAUUGUUUGAAUCUGCUGGAUCAUUUUAAAACUGUUGUCUUGUGGGGUUUUAAAGAUUAUUGGAAAUGAAGGAGUUUUCGAAGAUUACAAUGUUCUAUUUCCUUGAUUUUGUUACUUCAUUGUAAGUGGAGGUAUGUCUAAGGCCGAAAUGUACGUAAUUUCUGUGAAAAGAUUGACUGGUUUUUGCUUAUAUUUUCCUCUUAUUUGUAAUAUUUGUCUACAGUAUCUGUGUGAUUAGUCUCGUUCUAUUGUUAAUGGCGAUUGUCAAACAGCCUACCUUGAUUUCAUUUAUAUACGUAGCGAGAAUGAGAUGUCUAUGGUUAAUCCAAUCUCCUUAUAUAUAUAUGUAUUGCAGAGCAAGCAUCACCCCAGGGACAGUGUUGAUUAUCCUUGCUGGUAGGUUCAAGGGCAAGAGAGUUGUCUUUUUGAAGCAACUUCCCUCUGGCUUGCUUCUCGUUACUGGUGAGUUAUCUUUUUUAUCUUUGUUCUCAUUAUCUUUCCCACUGUCUGUAUUCCAUAUGAAGCUAAGAUUAUUUUUCUAUCUUUUCUUUGAUUGUCGUAUUUACAUAACCUGACAUGUUUCUUUUUUUUUGGUAUUGGCCAUCAGGACCCUUCAAGAUCAAUGGUGUUCCUUUGAGACGUGUUAACCAGUCCUAUGUGAUCGGCACUUCCACGAAGGUUGACAUUUCUGGAGUGAGCCUCGAUAAAUUCGAUGAUAAGUAUUUUGGAAAGGUUGCCGAGAAGAAGAAAAAGAAGGGAGAAGGAGAGUUCUUUGAGGCAGAGAAAGAGGUAAUCAUUAUCUUGGGGAAAAGUUGUUUAUUUUGAUGAAAAAUAUUUGGCUAUUGAAGUUCAUUCUAGAAUAAUAGACAACAAAACUCAUCUUCAUUGUAAUUUGCCAAAUCAAACCAUAUGCUUGACCUUUUGCGUUUUGGAUUACGCAGGAGAAGAAGGAGAUUCCACAAGGGAAGAAGGAUGACCAGAAGGCAGUGGACGCAGCUUUGAUCAAAGCCAUUGAAGCAGUUCCAGAGCUGAAGACUUACCUUGGCGCAAGGUUUUCAUUGAAACAAGGAAUGAAGCCCCAUGAGCUUGUUUUCUAGAUUUCAUAACCUUUUUCUGAGUUUUCUAGAGUAUCUGUGUCCUGAAUUUUUUACCCUCUAAAAUGGUUGUUUUGUUCAUGUCCACCUACCAGAGAUAAUUUUUUGGCUUAUACAAUCUAUAUUUUCUGUUUUUUAUAUAAACAAUCGUUUU